rnacentral:rRNA from 1 species
CCUACGGGUGGCAGCAGUGAGGAAUAUUGGUCAAUGGGCGGAAGCCUGAACCAGCCAAGUAGCGUGCAGGAUGACGGCCCUACGGGUUGUAAACUGCUUUUAUACGGGAAUAACGCGCCUUACGUGUAGGGCUUUGCAUGUACCGUAUGAAUAAGGACCGGCUAAUUCCGUGCCAGCAGCCGCGGUAAUACGGAAGGUCCGGGCGUUAUCCGGAUUUAAUGGGGUGAAAGGGAGCGUAGGCCGCAUGUCAAGCGUGCUGUGAAAUGUCCGGGCUCAACCCGGGCCUUGCAGCGCGAACUGGCGUGCUUGAGUCCGCGGAAGGCAGGCGGAAUUCGUCGUGUAGCGGUGAAAUGCUUAGAUAUGACGAAGAACCCCGAUUGCGAAGGCAGCUUGCUGCAGCGGAACUGACGCUGAUGCUCGAAAGCGCGGGUAUCGAACAGGAUUAGAUACCCGGGUAGUC